UGAUGUUUGGUUUAAAGAAUUCACACUUGUUGCACCAUGCUCUGAGCCCAUAAUCUUGAAAUGUUUUCAACACUAUCUCAAGAUUUUGGAGAUGUUCCUUGUCAUCCUUACUGGUAACAAUGAUGUCAUCCGUGUAUACUGCGUGCUUGCGCAGCCUUGCAGCUCUUGGUGCAUAGCUUUCUGCUGGAGUACAGGCGCAGAUGCCACUCAAAAAAUAUGCCUAUUGUGGCAAUACAGCCUUUUGUGAUCGUUUGUGGUGAGAAACACUUUGGACUCUUCUUCCAUCUCACUCUGCAGUUCUUCUAUAUGUGGGAAAUGUUGGAUUUUAAAGGGGGCGAACUGUUGUGAUAGACCACACCAGGAGCACUGAAUCCAAUAUGUGAAAUUGAAACAUAACAAAAUACAGUACAUUAAAGUGUAAAUGAAAAGCUACGUCACCUGAAAGGACCAUUUGUGUCCCUAGAAUUGCUUCCAUGCCUUCUUUUUGUUACUACCAUUGGGCAGGAGGUGCAGAAGCCUUGGUUUCCAUGUCACCAGUUCUGUAACAGUUAUUACCCUACAAAUACCCGGCUCCUGACCUGCUACGAUUAACUUCAUUCACCACUAUUCUGAACUGAUUCUACGGCUUAGAGACUUACCUUAAAGGAAUCUGUACAACUCAUUUUCUCAAAAUGAUUUUAUUUGCACAGUUUGACUUCUAUGUAAAUUGGUGUUUUAUUAGUCUUUGUUUAUCUGUAGUUUUUUGUACAAUUCUACUGUGUUUCUUUUUUCCCUGUAAAUGUCUGGAAGAAAAUGAAUCUCAAGGUUGUAUCUGAUAACAUAGGUACUCUGAUAAUAAAUUUACUUUGAACUUUGGGUAGUAGAAGGUUAAGAAGUAAAAGGGUGAAAUUGUGCAGUUACUGAGAUUUUCAUGUGGAAUGAAAAAAUGUGUUGGUUCAUGGAAUUCUCCCGAAGGCACUUCCUCACAUAAUUUUCCCGUUCCAUCACGUGCAUCACAGCACAUACUGUUUCACUUUUAGCCUGCCCUCCAGCCAGGGACCCAAAUAUCUGCAAUUUGUCAGCUCCAUAAUGGGUAUUAUCCUCCUGACUAUCAAUAACAUCUUCAAAAGGAGAUGCCUCAAAAAGAGGCAACUCAUCAUUAAGGACCUUCACUAUUCUGGAUAUGCCCUUUUCUCAAUACUAUCAUCAGAGAAGAGGUACAGGAGCCUGAAGACACACUCUCAGCAUUUUAGGAACAGCUACCUCCCCUCUGCCUUCAGAUUUCUGAAUGGACUGAAUGAACCCAUGGACACUACCUCACUAUUUUGUCUCUCGUUUUCACUACCCUUCUAAUUUUUUAAAUACAUAUAUUUCUUAUUGUAAUUUAUAGUUUAUUUUAUGUAUUGCUCUGUUAUACUGCCACAAAACAACAUAUCCAUGAAUAUGUCAGAGAUAAUAAACCUGCUUCUGAUUCUGAUUUUGCCUUUUAUCUGCCUACUGUCCUUCCUUGUGAAGGAGUGGCUCAUUUGCAGUUCUUUUAAUCUAAUGGCUUACGCUUGCUGCUCACAAUAUGGCAUUCUCUGCAUUGGAGAAACACGCCUGCUUUCCCAAACUCUCUUCAGUCCACAAGGGGAACUCUGAGCUUUCGGUUGCCCGUCACUUUAACACCAUAUCUUUGUGCCUCCAAGAUUGCUCCAAAGAUGCCCAACUCAGGCUUGAGGAAGCACAUUAUCUUUCACUUGGGCUUAAUGUUGAAUUUGACCAUUUCAGGUAACCACUGUUAUUGCUUUCUGUCUCUCCACUGAUGUGGCUGUACAUUUCAAUUUGUUCCUUCUUUGCUCUUCUGUGUCGAACUGCUGGUUAUUAAUUAUUUCUGUGACAGUUCCAUUUACACACUAUCACAGAUAUUUCCUGUGUUCCCUCUGCCCCUCUCAUUUUCUGCAGCUUAAUACGCUUGUUUUCUCUUUCCUUCCAUUCUGAUGCAGGGUCUUUG